ACUAAACUAUGUAUAUAUCAUAUUCAAUUAGAAGAAUUUCCUCCAGCUAGCAAAAUUUCCUUUUUAAUAUCUACGAACAUCGCCGCAUAUGGAGAUUUAUCAUCUAGGUCUACCACUUCGAUACAUUAUCAGUUGUGCAAAUAGUAUUUUUCUCCAUCAACUUGUAUUGUGCUCCUUUGUUAGCAAUCGAGAAGACAAUAUCAUGGCCGAAGUCCAACUACUAAACAGGGCAUCUUGUCACUCCCAAGAACAACUAUUUUUUUCGAUAUCUAGCCUGGCAGCCUCAAAAUUGGCAUAAAGAAUCACAUGGAUGAAUAUCAUAUACUAAAGAAAUGUAGAAUGUAAAUCAUAAUAAUUGAUAGCCUAAUAACCCUUAAAAGAACAAACGUGUUUCUAGCAUGGGUAUACACAUUGAAAAACUUUAUAUCAGGUAACUCUAUAUAGCACGACAUCACAAUAUAAGGAUGGUUGAAUAAAGAGCCGAAUAGAAAAUGUCAAUAUUUUGUCAAAAGUACACCCUAAACUGCAGAGUGAACAGAAUCGAUGAAUUGCAGAGUGAAAACAAGUCAAAGGCUUGAAAAGUUGGGUUCUAUAAUUCUAUAGAACAAAGUGGUAGGAAGACAUAGUACAGUAUGCCAACUAAUGGAUGACAAAAGACAAAUUUAGGCAAGGUAACAAUUUCAAAAGACAAUAUCACAUUAAGGAUUGUGACCUACAAAACCAUCCCCAAACGUACCAAUCGAUGUCAGUGUGCUCGCCAUUUGUACAAAUAAAGCAAGGUUUGUAGUAAAAUUCUGAAGAAAAAAAAUGCCCAGAUUGGUAAAAAAAUUGCUCGAACUCCAUCCUUUAAAAUGGCAAAUUUAUUUUGGUGUUCAUCUGCAAUAAAAGAAUCUGAGCAAGAUGCAAUUUAUCUCUGAAACUAAAUAACCGUAUGUAGGUACGCGUCCAAUCACAAAGAACAUUAACUUGUGGAAUCUACAUAAUAAACUAAGACCAAAUACCUUGUGCAAAAAAGAAAAGACAAAACGUGCAGACGAUUUUGCAGAUUGCGUGUUCAAGAGUAUAGGAAAUCUAAGGGGGCUCACUUCCUUCUGUAACAGUGAAUUCGUCUUCUCUGAGGAGCUGCCGAGAAAGGAAUGUACGUAUGGUUAUACGAGCUGCAAUGACGAAGAUAAAAGUAUUUGCUACAUAAGUACUGACGUUGAUACCAAGGAAAUACUAACCAUCAGUAUGAUUUUGCAUCUCAGUUGUGUCUUAAUAAUUGCCCACGUCAUUUUUUCCACCAUUAACAACUUUUCCAAAUGUCGUAUGUGGAAGCUGAUGGAGCAUCACGUCCAUUUAGAAAAACUGUGCAAAAGAGCAUGACAAAGCAUUAAGAAACCCUUGCAUAUAUAGCAUCGUGUUUAGUUCAUACUUAUUCCAAAUUAAGUUUUACAAUUUAAACCGCAAUCUGCCUAUGCCCGUGGUCAAAAAAUGUACUUAUAUAUAAAAAAUUCUUCUAAGACAUAGUAUUAUUGUUUACCACUGAACUACGCAAAUAGUGAUCUUUUAGGCUUGUAGAUAGAAGACAUACUUCCAAUGAUGUUUAAUAGUAAAGAAAUAAGGAUUACUUACACUUGGUUAUGCACGGCCAACAGGGAGAUAACAUGCAUGCCGCUGCAGCAAAUAGAAAUCUAACUGCCAUCAACACAUCUAAAGAAGCCCACUUGAACAUGAAAAUCUUUUCAAAUACCUAGAUAAUAGAUAAAUGCAUGAACUAAGGUACGGUCAUGACAAUAGUUGGCAACAGGACAUGGGUAGAUUAAAAUCAAAACUCUCUUCUUUUACGGCGACAUAUUGUUCUGCAAUUAGCAAACCUCAAGAAGACAAUCAAUUGUCAUCUAAUGCUAAAGAACUGUACUGGACCACGGAUGAGUCAGAUGAACAAACCUUGAGCUCCCAAGAUUUGAAAUUGCCUGGAUCAUCCCCCUGCAGCCCCUCUCCGUUCACCAAGCGACCUGUUGAAUUAGGUCUCUGCUGUUACAGAAAUCCAAUGAAAAAACAAAAGGUGUCAAAUAAUAUACUUGGUGACGUGGUGAGAUUGUAUUCAGGAUGCAAAAGCUACAUGAUCAGCUAGUAGAUUUAAUUUACAAGACGCAAAGAACAUUUGAGUAAUUGAAACAAAUUUCAAACUUGUAUAACAAUCCGACAUUAAAGUAUUCCUUAUUUCUUUACUCAAACCUUGAAGUGUUGGAUCAUCACAAUCAACAUAUUGGUGAGACACCAUCCAAAUCAUCAAAGGAAUCGGGAAUAUAACAGAGGACAGGAGAUGAGAGGUGAGAUACCUUACUGCUCGGGGAAGCCGCGGACAGAGGAGAGGAGGAGCAAUAUCAGCAAGCUUACGCCGGAG
rnacentral:lncRNA from 1 species